GUUGUGGAUCUAACCUCAUCCGUAGGUAAGUCUCCUCCUCCACCUCUCCUCUCCUCCAACGCCUUUGUAUCUCUUAUUCGUCUCAGAACCCUAACCCUAAUCAACCACACGCAUGCAGCCGCAAGUCGGGGUCCUCCCCUUUGAUCAACCUGCAACUACGGCGACGCGCAAGGCAACCUCCAAGGCGAAGGCAAGGCGCUGGCCCUGUCCUUCGACGUUCUCUCCAGUAAGUUCUCCUUCUCUUUGUUUGUGAGGUGUCAGUGAGAUUUUUUCUCCUUUUUUUGGCAACAAAUUCUUGCUUUGUUGGUGAGUUGAAUGGUUCCUUUCUGAAGUAUAGAUGUGAAACAUACAGUUAGUGGAUGAGUUUGCCUCACCGAAUUUAGAAAACUGAUGGCACAACAUACUUAUGAUUUAGUUUCUUGUUAUUCUAGUGGAAUUUCUCAUUUAUAGGCUAUAGCAGUAUAGAAGCAUCAGUUCUAAACUCUAGAUCAGCCAACCUAUCUAUACACACAAGCCAACAGGAUAGUGGCUACGUUCUGCUUCCUCCUUAGGCUGUUGUUCUUUAGUUUUUAUGUGGAUUGAGAAAAUAUGAGCCAUGGAAUGACUAAUGGCAGAUAAUGGUUCGUGUUAGUUCUCUUUGUUUAAUUAGAUCCAACAAUCGUAUGUUUUGUGUUAAUUUGAUAUGGUCGUUUUUUAGGCAUCUUUAUAUGUUUUUUUGUUUCUACUUCAUGGCCGUAAUAUCUAAUUAGCUAGUUGCUCAUAGCUUUUUCUCUAUCUGUUAUAGAACUGGGAUUCUUAUGCAUCUACUAGUAAAAUCAACAUGCUGAAUGGCUAUUUUCUUGUGUUGGCAUUCCAAACAUGGUCAUGCAUUGAUCUGUGUGGCAAAGAGCUCAUCUCAGAUUGCGCAUACUUGAUGUUUUGCAGAAUCCUCCGCCCCCAAUCAGAGUAGGUGAGGGGGAACCUCCACCAUCCUGGAGUCCCGUUCCUGACCCUUAUAAUCUACAGAGUGAAAGUCAACAAGGUG
rnacentral:lncRNA from 1 species